CAAAGUGACAGGUGGUGCAUGGUUGUCGUCAGCUCGUGUCGUGAGAUGUUGGGUUAAGUCCCGCAACGAGCGCAACCCUUGUUCUUAGUUGCCAGCAUUCAGUUGGGCACUCUAAGGAGACUGCCGGUGACAAACCGGAGGAAGGUGGGGAUGACGUCAAAUCAUCAUGCCCCUUAUGACCUGGGCUACACACGUGCUACAAUGGAUGGUACAAAGGGUCGCAAAACCGCGAGGUCGAGCCAAUCCCAUAAAACCAUUCUCAGUUCGGAUUGUAGGCUGCAACUCGCCUACAUGAAGCUGGAAUCGCUAGUAAUCGCGGAUCAGCAUGCCGCGGUGAAUACGUUCCCGGGCCUUGUACACACCGCCCGUCACACCACGAGAGUUUGUAACACCCGAAGUCGGUGGGGUAACCGUAAGGAGCCAGCCGCCUAAGGUGGGACAGAUGAUUGGGGUGAAGUCGUAACAAGGUAGCCGUAUCGGAAGGUGCGGCUGGAUCACCUCCUUUCUAAGGA
rnacentral:rRNA from 1 species